rnacentral:lncRNA from 1 species
GGAGUCAGGUGACAUACUGUCCUACUGUCCCAGCAAUUUGUUCUCGAUCCUCACUUUGUCCACAGGGGGGAGCGAGACAGAAGCCUCAAGUGCAGACCCAAGCCGGGGAAGGAAGAGGAAGAGGAGCAGGAAGACUGAUGAGAAGGCUGGCCAAAGAGGGCCUCCUGGGAAGAGGAGGAAGCCCGGGGCUAGAGCCAAGGGGCCUAGGGUCCAGCAACCAAAGAGGAAGAAGAAAGGAUCAUCACAGAGUGCGAAGUGAGGUGCACAGCCCAGGCCGGCUGGCCUCCUUACUGGCAUGAGGUGAAUGGGGCCAGGCUCUCUGCGCAUGCUCCUGCAGCCUCUGGAUGCCAAGGCUCUGAGCGCUCUAUAGGGGAGGAGGAUGAAAGAGGAGACCCCUGGUUAGUCCUGGCCUUCAGGAAUGCUCCUGCCUCAGCUAUGGCCUGCAUAUCAGAAAUUCAUUCCGAACACUCAAAAUUUUACUCGUACAUAGCUGUGGCUGUGCCUGAUCCUGACCAGAGAGGCCAGAAGAUCUGGAGACUGAGUCCAGCCUGGGUCGUAGGGCAAAACCCUGUCUCCGCUUCCCUCCCCUACAGUAAGGAAAACAAAACUGAGUAACUGUGUGACCACCGUCAACUCCAUCCUGGGCUGCCCACCAAAUAAACUGCGGGACCUUACAACACAUGGCUGCUUCUCCCCUUUUUGGAUAUCAGUGUGUAUUGGAGGGUGUGGGUGGGGCGUUUUCAUCUGCUUUUGUGUUUGUGUGCAUCUGAGAACCCCACCAAAGAGCCCACCAGGCCCGUGUGUUCAUG